rnacentral:lncRNA from 1 species
CAUAUCUCUCUCACUGAAAGAACUAAAAAUAUCAACAUUAAAUGCAUGUUAGGAAAAGAUAUGGCCAGCAUCAGUUCAAACAGUGCUCGAAUCAGCAGAAAAUGAUCAAAUGAGUGGUAUAUUAAAACUUGCAAACUCAGUUGGAGGGGAAGGUUUUGUGGAUAUGGCUAUUGAAGAUAUUCAAGAUUUAUUAGUGGAAGAAGAAGUUGACGAAGUGGAUCUGGUUGAAAUGGCAUCUGAAAUAAAUCAAAUCGAUUCUGAGGAUAACAGUACUGAUGAAGAUUGUAAAUUUAAUAAUUUAACACUAAAAAAAUUGCAGGAAGGUCUAAAGUUAGUCAAACAGCU